CUUGUUAGUAUCGGUGAAGCUGUUCGCGAAUAUCUGGAACGCCACCGUCAGGAGGGAGCCGCCCAUCCUCGCGACAGGUGCUCUCAUGGCGGCGCCGCCGUCGGGAGUGACGACGAACCCAGACGGGAGCAGCGCCACGUUGGAGGAGUCGCCGCCGUUCACGACGAGAUCUGCGGCGGCGGCCUCCAGCGGCGCAUGCACAACCAGCGAGGACGACGCGUCGGUGGAGGCCUCUUGCAGGAUCAGCUUGGCGCCGCUGGCGGCGCCGCCAGGCUGCAUGUGCCCAUGCACGAGUAAAACAAAAAGAUCAGUACGGCAUGGUAGGACUGGUUUUGAAACCGAUCCCUUCUGCUUCCUCUCUCUCUCUCUCUAAAAACUCUCUCAUCCUGUGUCCGAGCAGACGGGAAGCUGCAAUGGUGGUGAUGACGACUCCAGCGUGCAGAAAGGAAACGUAGCUGUAUAUGUAGGCGACUUACUCUGGCGCGAAGAAGAGAGACGGCGUUUCCCCGCCGGUGGCCGGUGGCUAUGGUGGCCGCCUCCUGCACCGGACCACCGUCGGACAGGAUUCUCCACUCGCUGCGCAGGAGGAGGUCGAAGAGAGGUUUCGGCGGCACCGCCAGCCACACCGAGGCGGCGGCGCAGAGAACUGCAGACGAUGGCUCUCCGGG
rnacentral:lncRNA from 1 species